CCUACGGGCGGCUGCAGUGAGGAAUAUUGGUCAAUGGCCACAGGGCUGAACCAGCCAAGUCGCGUGAGGGAUGACGGUCCUAUGGAUUGUAAACCUCUUUUGUCAGGGAGCAAAGGGCGCCACGUGUGGCGCUUUGCGAGUACCUGAAGAAAAAGGAUCGGCUAACUCCGUGCCAGCAGCCGCGGUAAUACGGAGGAUGCGAGCGUUAUCCGGAUUUAUUGGGUUAAAAGGGUGCGCAGGGGGACUGUCAAGUCAGCGAGAAAAUUUCGGGGCUAAACCUGGUCGUGCCGUUGAAACUGGGGAUCUUGAGUGAACGAGAGGUAUGCGGAAUGCGUGGUGUAGCGGUGAAAUGCAUAGAUAUCACGCAGAACUCCGAUUGCGAAGGCAGCAUACCGGAGCCCAACUGACGCUGAGGCACGAAAGCGUGGGUAUCGAACAGGAUUAGAUACCCUUGUAGUC
rnacentral:rRNA from 1 species